AGUUCGCCGCCAGAACUGAAAUAUUUUUAUGAUUUUCAUAGCUAUCCGACCCCACUUCAUUUUGACAACGUAAUUUUGACUUUUAAGCAUUAUUUUUGCUAAUAAUUUACAGAUAAAGAAUGACAGUUUUAAAUUGAAUGCAAAUUAAAAGUUAUAAACCAAAAUUCAAGCUAGUAAAGGUCCAAUAUGGCUCAAGCUUUUAUUACUACUCACAAGGACACAUUUAGAUGGAAUUGUCAACCAAGAGUAGGACCAAUUCGUCAAGAUGACUUGAGCAAGUUGGAACCAGAAGGCGAUAUAUGGAAGUUAGACCCUAAUAAAGAAAUUGAAGAAGAGUUGCGAAAUCUUCCAAAAAUCAAAGAAACUAUAGAGAAAUUAUAUUUAAAACGGAUGAAAACAACUUAUCAAUUGUCGCAUUGUGAUAAUCUUUUGAAAGCAGCAAAACAUAUUAAAACCACCCUUUCACUUCCCAACGCAUCAGCUAGUCAGGCAAAAAUUGAAAAUGUAAAAGAUGAAGAUUUCGAGAAUGAACUUUUGGAAUACUGCAACAAUUUGUACGGGCCAAACAAUCAGAAAAUUAUUCCACCUUUGUAUACCUCUAGAAACGUUUUUGGAUAUCUCAGACCUUCCAGACUAAGGACAACACGAUCAGUGUAUCAAGAUGAUCAUGGAAAAGUGGCCUACAGAAUAUUAAUGUCUGCCUAUGACCGUAGAACCAUCGACAAAAGCUCACAAUUAUGUUAAAAAAAUUAAAAUUAAAAAAUAUUUUAAAGGCUUUCUUCCUUGCGUCAAUUAAUUCUUCAUGUGAACCUACCUUAAGUUAGGAGUCAGCAGGUGCCGAGAUAUAGAGAUAUGUAGAGAGUCCCAAAAAACUUCCUGGUCUACAGCAGAGAUCAAAAAGAAUAAUGGUGGGUUUCAAACAGAAAAAUAAACUAGAAUACUAAGAUAUUUUUAUUUUUACACUUUCAAACAGCGAAAUAAAAUAAGAAAUAUAGAUUUGUACAUACCUAGUGCGCUGAAGUAUGAUAAAAAUUGACUUUAAUGAUUGUUGAGAG